CUACGGGAGGCAGCAGUAGGGAAUUUUUCACAAUGGGCGAAAGCCUGAUGGAGCAAUGCCGCGUGACUGAUGAAGGUCUUCGGAUUGUAAAGGUCUGUUGUAAGGAAGAAGUGCUAGAAUAGGAAAUGAUUUUAGUAUCGACCAUACCUUACCAGAAAGCCACGGCUAACUAUGUGCCAGCAGCCGCGGUAAUA
rnacentral:rRNA from 1 species